AACGAACGCUGGCGGCAUGCCUAACACAUGCAAGUCGAACGAAGGCUUCGGCCUUAGUGGCGCACGGGUGCGUAACACGUGGGAAUCUGCCCUUUGCUUCGGAAUAACAGUUAGAAAUGACUGCUAAUACCGGAUAAUGUCGCAAGACCAAAGAUUUAUCGGCAAAGGAUGAGCCCGCGUAAGAUUAGGUAGUUGGUGGGGUAAUGGCCUACCAAGCCGACGAUCUUUAGCUGGUCUGAGAGGAUGAUCAGCCACACUGGGACUGAGACACGGCCCAGACUCCUACGGGAGGCAGCUGUGGGGAAUAUUGGACAAUGGGCGAAAGCCUGAUCCAGCAAUGCCGCGUGAGUGAUGAAGGCCUUAGGGUUGUAAAGCUCUUUUACCCGGGAUGAUAAUGACAGUACCGGGAGAAUAAGCUCCGGCUAACUCCGUGCCAGCAGCCGCAGUAAUAC
rnacentral:rRNA from 1 species